UUAAUUUAAAUUAUUAAUUGUGGGGAUUUUACUAAUUAAAAAAAAAAAAUUAUUUUUUAGUAUUUCUGUAGAAAAGAUUAUAUUUAUGAUAGAAAAUUUGUAUUGUGAAAGAUUUUUUUAUAUAAAAUUUUAAAGAAGAAUUAAUAGUUUGUACCUUGUGUAUCAGGGUUGAUUAAAUUUAUUUAAUUAUUUUUUUGUCUCGAAUUUAAAAGAGUUAAUUUAUUAUUAUUUUAUUGUGAAAUAAAUAUUUUUAAUAGUAAGUUAGUAAUGAAACGUUAUUCGUUUUUAAAUUUAUCUAGUUAUUUAAGAAAAUAAUUUAAUUAUACUUUUAUUAAUUUUAUUUUUUUUUAUUAAAAUAAUGUUAGUAAAAUUUUAUAAGGAAGGGGAUGAGCUUUUUCUUAGAAAAUUUAAAAAUUAAUAAUAAAUUAAGAUUUAUAGGAUUUAAAUUGUCUAUUUUUAAAAAAUUGUUAUAAAUUUUCUUAAUAAGAUAAUAAUUUAUAUUAAUUUUAAAUUAUUUAUUAAAUUGUUAAUAAUAAUUGAAUUUAUUAAUUAAUAAUGAUUAAAUUAGUAAUUUAGAUUGUAAGGUAUAAUUUUAUUUUAAGGUUAUGAAAAGGAAUUUGGCAAAUAAUUUUUCACCUGUUUAUUAAAAACAUGGCCUUUUGAAUAUAAUUUAAGGUCUGGCCUGCCCACUGAGGAGUUAAAGGGCCGCGGUAAUUUGACCGUGCUAAGGUAGCAUAAUCAUUAGUUUUUUAAUUGAAAGCUGGAAUGAAUGGUUGUAUGAAAAAAAUACUGUCUCUUUAUAAUUUUAAGUAAAUUUUAUUUUUAAGUAAAAAAGCUUAAAUUAAUUUAAAAGACGAGAAGACCCUAUAGAGUUUUAUUUUUUAUAUUUUUAUGGGUUUGGGAAUUAUAUUUUGAAUUUUAAUAAAUUAUUUAGUUGGGGUGAUUGAAAAAUUUUUAAAACUUUUUAUUUAUUAAUACAUUAAUUAAUGAAUAGUUGAUCCUUUUUUUAUGAUUAUAAGAAAAAAUUACCUUAGGGAUAACAGCGUAAUUUUUUUUGAGAGUUCUAAUCAAUAAAAAAGAUUGCGACCUCGAUGUUGGAUUAAAAUUUAUUUUUGGUGUAGAAGCUAAGAUAUUUGGUCUGUUCGACCAUUGAAAUUUUACAUGAUCUGAGUUUAAACCGGUGUGAGCCAGGUUGGUUUCUAUCUUUAAUAUAUUUAAAUAUUUUAGUACGAAAGGACCAAAUAUUUGAUAUAAUAUUAUUAUUUUGACUAUUAUU
rnacentral:rRNA from 1 species